rnacentral:rRNA from 1 species
CUUGACAUCCAGCGAAUUCGGUAGAGAUACCUUAGUGCCCUUCGGGAACGCUGAGACAGGUGCUGCAUGGCUGUCGUCAGCUCGUGUUGUGAAAUGUUGGGUUAAGUCCCGCAACGAGCGCAACCCUUAUCCUUUGUUGCCAGCGGUCCGGCCGGGAACUCAAAGGAGACUGCCAGUGAUAAACUGGAGGAAGGUGGGGAUGACGUCAAGUCAUCAUGGCCCUUACGAGUAGGGCUACACACGUGCUACAAUGGCGCAUACAAAGAGAAGCGACCUCGCGAGAGCAAGCGGACCUCAUAAAGUGCGUCGUAGUCCGGAUUGGAGUCUGCAACUCGACUCCAUGAAGUCGGAAUCGCUAGUAAUCGUAGAUCAGAAUGCUACGGUGAAUACGUUCCCGGGCCUUGUACACACCGCCCGUUACACCAUGGGAGUGGGUUGCAAAAGAAGUAGGUAGCUUAACCUUCGGGAGGGCGCUUACCACUUUGUGAUUCAUGACUGGGGUGAAGUCGUAACAAGGUAAGCGUAGCGAG